AACGAACGCUGGCGGCAUGCCUAACACAUGCAAGUCGAACGGGAUCCUAGCUUGCUAGGUGAGAGUGGCGGACGGGUGAGUAACACGUGGGAAUCUGCCUUUUGGUUCGGGAUAACCGCGGGAAACUGCGGCUAAUACCGAAUGCCCCUCGAGAGAGGAAAGAUUUAUCGCCAGAAGAGGAGCCCGCGUCCGAUUAGGUAGUUGGUGGGGUAAAGGCCUACCAAGCCGACGAUCGGUAGCUGGUCUGAGAGGAUGAUCAGCCACACUGGGACUGAGACACGGCCCAGACUCCUACGGGAGGCAGCAGUGGGAAUCUUAGACAAUGGGCGCAAGCCUGAUCUAGCCAUGCCGCGUGAGCGAUGAAGGCCUUAGGGUUGUAAAGCUCUUUCGUGGGGGAAGAUAAUGACGGUACCCCAAGAAGAAGCCCCCGGCUAACUCCGUGCCAGCAGCCGCGGU
rnacentral:rRNA from 1 species